CCUACGGGUGGCAGCAGUGGGGAAUAUUGCACAAUGGGGGAGACCCUGAUGCAGCGACGCCGCGUGAAGGAAGAAGUAUCUCGGUAUGUAAACUUCUAUCAGCAGGGAAGAAAAUGACGGUACCUGACUAAGAAGCUCCGUCUAACUACGUGCCAGCAGCCGCGGUAAUACGUAGGGGGCAAGCGUUAUCCGGAUUUACUGGGUGUAAAGGGAGCGUAGGCGGUUUAGCAAGUCAGAAGUGAAAGGCCGGGGCUCAACUCCGGGACUGCUUUUGAAACUGUUGAACUAGAGUGCAGGAGAGGUAAGUGGAAUUCGUAGUGUAGCGGUGAAAUGCGUAGAUAUUAGGAGGAACACCAGUGGCGAAGGCGGCUUACUGGACUGUAAAUGACGCUGAGGCUCGAAAGCGUGGGGAGCAAACAGGAUUAGAUACCCGAGUAGUC
rnacentral:rRNA from 1 species